rnacentral:snRNA from 1 species
AUACUUACCUGGCAGGGGAGAUACCAUGAUCAUGAAGGUGGUUUUCCCAGGGCGAGGCUUAUCCAUUGCACUCUGGGUGUGUUGACCCCUGCGAUUUCCCCAAAUGUGGGAAGCUCCACUGCAUAAUUUGUGGUAGUGGGGGACUGUGUACGCGCUCUCCCCGU